rnacentral:lncRNA from 1 species
AGUCUUCCACUAGCAGCCUUUGGAUGAAGACAUAGAGCUCUCAGCUCCUCCUGCUCCAUGCCUGCCUGGAUACUGCCAUGCUCCCACCUUGAUGAUAAUGGACUGAAUCUCUAAACCUGUAAGCCAGCCCCAAUUAAAUAUUGUUUUUUAUAAGACUUGCCUUGGUCAUGGUGUCUGUUCAUAGCAGUAAAACCCUAACUAAGACAGAAGUUGGUACCAGGAGUGGAGUAUUGCUGUGAUGGGCCUGACCAUGCUUUUAUUUGAAAGAAUGUGGGUUUUUUGGACUUUGGAUUUGGAACCCAGUGGAAUGCUUUAAAUGGGGCUUAAUGGGUCAUCCUAGUAGGAAUGUGGAAGACUUUGUUGUUGGGAGUAAUUUGAACUGUGUUGCCUUAGCCCAAGAAAUUUCAAAAGAGAAGACUUUCAGUAUGUGGCAUAAAGACUGUUUUGUGGUAUUUUGGUGAAGAAUGUGGCUACUUUUUGCCCUUGUCUGAAAAGUCUGCCUGAGGCUAAGGUGAAGAGACUUGGAUUAAUUGCAUUGACAAAGGAAGUUUCAAAAAAGCCCAGCAGAGACUCUGUUCUCUGGUUAAGUCUCACAAAGAGAAGUUUGAACAAGCAUAGCAAGCUUAGAAAGGCCAAAUAUAAAAUAUAUGGUUCGAGUAUUAAAGGCAUACCAGGAAGUGAAAAGGAGCAAAAUCCUGUGUUCUAGGAAAUAACAGAUUAAGGGAGUGGGACCUUGGGGCAAGAUCCUACCCAGCUGAAUUUAGAUCCAGGCAUAGUGGUACAAACCUUUAGUCUCAUGAGACAGGCAUGCUGAUCUCUGCAUUCAAGGUCAAUCUACAGAGCAAGAACCAGGAUAGCCAAGCAUAGGCAGUGAAGGAUUUAGAAAACAUAAAGCCGGUGUUAAUGUAAUAGUACAAGGGGAUCAUGUUCUAGAUCCUGUAAGCAGCAGAACUUGGCAGCUUCAGCCAUGUGGCUCUGGCUCUAGAGUUAAGAAUGGAAGGAACUACUGGGACAAUUGAUGCUGGUUAGCUGGAGCUAAGACAUUAGCAAUGAUUAAGAAGAGACCAGCAUCACUGAGUUGAAAUCUGGGAGUUGUUUUUUGGGAGCACAAAGAAGCUGUGUUCCAGAGAUAGCCAAGGUUGUACCUUGUGCUGCAGCUGACUUGGUAAUGUUUAAGAGUCACCCAGGUGGUACUGGUUUUGAAGGCAUGAAGUUGUCAUGAAGAACAGCUGAGGCUUGGCACUGUGAGAAGUCAUGGAAGGCCAUUGGAGAAGGUGUAGCCUCAGCUGUAGUUGAUGGCCCAGAACUGAAGGGGUCAGGCAAAGGAUUUGAUGUUUGGCACCAUGAAGAGAGCCUAUGAGAGGCUAUUGGUGAAGCCUGGUUGGAGUGGAACACCCCAGUGUAUUGGAGAUGUCAGUACCAUGGGAUGAUCACCAAGAACAGCAGCUGUAGUGGAGUGGAUCAAACUGAGCUUAGAGUGCUACAGAGGGCAGAGCUGGAAAAGUGAUGCCAGCCCUUAGGAGGAGUCCAAAAGAUCAAGUGGAAUCCCAGACACUGAAACAAGAAGCUGUUACCAUUGAAAUUGCCUUGGAGACUCAAAGAUGAUAAAGAUGCCAGAGCCAUGGGAUACAUGCUGAGGAAAGCUGCUAACAGGGAGUGGAACCAGCCCAGGAGAAAGCAGUUUGUUGCAGUCAACAAAGAUGAAAAAGGAGUGGAGAUCUGAAGACCGCUUUGACAUCAGCCAUUGAGAUGCAGAGUUUGGAGUUUGCCCAGCUGAUUUCCUGCCUUGCUUUGGGGAUUACAGUUAAUUAAGUUGAAUGAAUCUCAGAAGAGACCUUAAACUUUGGAUUUUUAACAUUGUUGCGACUGCUAUAGACUAUGAGGACUUUGAAAGUUGGACUAAAUGCAUUUUGCAUUAUGCUAUGUUUAAGUAUGACCCCAUAGACUUAUGUUUUUGAACAAGUCUAUGGGGACCAGGGAGUGGAAUGCAAUGGUUUGUAUAUCCUUGGACCAGGGAGUGGCACUAUCUGAAGGUGUGGCCUUGUUGGAAUAGGUGUGACCUGGUUGGAAUGGGUGUGUCACUGUGGGUAUGGGUAUAAGAUACUCACCCCAGUUGACUGUAAGUCAGUCUUCCACUAGCAGCCUUUGGAUGAAGACAUAGAGCUCUCAGCUCCUCCUGCGCCAUGCCUGCCUGGAUACUGCCAUGCUCCCACCUUGAUGAUAAUGGACUGAACCUCUCAACCUGUAAGCCAGUCCCAAUUAAAUGCUGUUUUUUAUAAGACUUGCCUUGGUCAUGGUAUCUGUUCACAGCAGUAAAACCCUAAGACAGACUGAAUGCAUUUUUGCACUAUAAUAUCUUGACAAGCUUAUGGGGGUCAGGGAUUGUGUUGGUUUGAAUGAAAAUGACAUCUAUAGACUCAUAGGAAGUGGCACUAUUAGGAAGAGAGGCCUUGUUGGAAUAAGUAUUUCUCAGAGUGGGUUUUGAGGUUUCAAGUGCUUAGUCCAGGCUCAGUGUCAUUUUCUUUCUUCCUGUUGGCUGCAAAUCCAGAGGUUCCUUCUCUAUCACCAUGUCUGCCUGUACAGUGCCAUGCUUUCCACAAUGUUGUUAACUGAUUAAACUCUGAAGUGUAAGUCAGCUCAAAAUAAAUGGGUUUCUUUAUAAG